UACGAAGGGGGCUAGCGUUGUUCGGAAUUACUGGGCGUAAAGCGCACGUAGGCGGGUCGUUAAGUCAGGGGUGAAAUCCCAGAGCUCAACUCUGGAACUGUCUUUGAUACUGGCGACCUAGAGUUCGGAAGAGGUUAGUGGAAUUCCCAGUGUAGAGGUGAAAUUCGUAGAUAUUGGGAAGAACACCAGUGGCGAAGGCGGCUAACUGGUCCGAUACUGACGCUGAGGUGCGAAAGCGUGGGGAGCAAACAGG
rnacentral:rRNA from 1 species